UUGAUUUGUAUCUCAACUAACCACAGAAAAGAAACUUGACACAAAUCCACCCCACCCGGCACAGAUAAACUCACAAUAAAAAUACAUUUCAAAAUCCGCUUCCUGUUCCGUGGCCUAUCAAAAACAAAUCCAACAAGAAAAUUCAUUCAAUUUGAAAAUGUUUAUAGCCUUGAGCGCAUUGAGUUGAAUCCAAAGCCAUGCUGAAUAGCUUGAAACUUAAAAGUGUUCUCAAUCAGUAAGAGAAACGCCGUUAAACCAAUCAAAUACAAAAGCUGGCGUUUGCUAGCGAUAGCAGUACAGAAAACUGCGCGCAACUGCGGGUGAUAAUUAUGGUCGGCAGUUUUCAAUACCACGUUUCGUAAAGUUCCCGCGUUUAUUUUGUUUAAAAACCUAUACCAAUAGAUACAAAAUUCAAUUUUGUUUACUAUCAUGCUUUAAAUAGACCCCACAUCGGUCUUGUUUUCUAUUAAUAUGCCAUUAACUCUCACCGUGUGACCUUAGGCGGCAAGGAAGCCAACGCAUACCAGACCAAAAUAAUGCAUCUUUUAAUUCUUAAACUGCAAUAAAUCAUACAUAUUUUGGAAGAAAAUUGAAUUUAUAUUUCAAUAAAGGGUCUUUGUGAGCCCAACAAUGACUAGUUCGCCAUCUAGCUAUGUUUUCGUCCAGAACUGUUUUGUAUUCAAAAUUUGAAGUUUUAGAAUUAGACGUAAAUCUUUUAAAGUUCCCGCGUUUCUUACGUUUUGAAGUUUUAAUAUGUUAUAAUGUAAGCGAUUCUGUUAAUUUUAGUGAAAUAUUUAGACCCCACAUCGAUCUAGUUUUUGAGAAUCAUUACAUAUAGUGGAACAGGGUGACCAUGGACAGCAAUGGUGGUUAUGUAUUGAACAUCAACUAAACACAGUUUCCAACCUUUAAAAGGCAACAAAAGGCACAGAAUCUGAUAGAUAAUUCAAUUUUGAUAUUUUUUGACCAUGUUGUAAGCCCCACAUCACUGAAGUUACUCGACAAUUCAUGGUAGAGCAUUGGCAGGUCCGGUAGGCUGAACAGCUCAGAACCAUGGUAAUUUUGAAAUUCAACAAAAGGGAGUUGGCCUUUGAUAUUACUUUUUAUCCUUCAAUUUUAAAUUUUGAUUGUGAAAAAUUGAUUUUGUUAAUGAACAAUCCUUGCAACUUAAGAUAUAUAAUUUUUGAAAUGGCGGAGAUAGCCAACAAUUUAUUUUCGUUAAUGCUUCACAGAUUCAUACAUGGCGUGGUCUCUGAUCAUAAAUCAAAAAUAUAUAUACAAAUAAUAAAACUCAUUGAAAUUUGUUGCUUAGUUCUCUUUUUUAGACUUAAAGGGUCAGCUGAAAAUAGUGGUCAAAAUACCUUAGUGUUGUAAUUUCGAACCGGUUUUACCUAGUACUCUAUAUACCGUGAAGGAACUAAUAGUGUUAGAGAGAGAGGAAGAGUGUUGUUGUUGAGUUUUGCUGUUUUAUGAAUGUUUAAUGUGUUUUUAACUACCUCAAUCUCGCUUUUACAAUAUCUGAGACAUGAACAUGUUGAAGAUGCAGAAUGGCUCUGCCCCGUGUGCCGCAGCAAGCCACAGCCUGCCAGAGAGAGCACAUCAACAUAGUAGAAAACCAUGGACAUCCGGAGAGAACUAUGCGGCAUGACAAACUCUACGAGCACUGGUGGUUCCUCCCUGCCGUCUCACGGCAGCGGCGCGACGGUGUCGAGAACGGUGGCUUGGUCAGCGUGGAAUCCGGCGAAGCGCUGCGCGCUGAGGGUGGGUGAUAGAUGACCGGUCACUGAACAAUGAAGCGAGUCAGAUCAUUGGGCGCAGUGAUUACCAGCCACGCAUCGCGGCUGGUCCGCGGAAGUUAUUGCUUUGAUGUCGGACUAAGUCACACAAUGUUUUGUCACAUUCUAGAGUGAUGCUGACAAUGGAAUGCAUCGCUAAUUUGCUUCCGAUGCUGCCUUAACGGUGAUAUGAGAUGCGUGAUAAACCGUUUGUUUGUU